rnacentral:tmRNA from 2 species
GGGGCUGUACUGGUUUCGAUUGCGAACCGAGUCCAUGGAAGCGUGCCGGGAAGAUACGCCCGUAACAGUUCAACCUUAUAAGCGCUGCUUUUGUCGCUGCUGAUUACGCCGUAGGUGCGUGAUCCGGUGGGGUUCAGAGUUUCACCCGUUUUCUGAACAAUCCCACCGUCAUUCAAAACGGGGAACCUGCAUACCGACUCAGCAUGCAGUGAGCCAGCGAUGGCCAUAAUGCAGAUGUCCUCCCGCCGUGAGGAGCGUAGAUCGGCUGUGUACCCACACGGUGACCCUUCGAGGGUUAAGCCCUGUGAGCCAAUGGGAUACGAGAUGAGUUGCAGGCUACGCACGUAGAAGAAUGAGUACAGAGAACGUAAGACGCGGGUUCGAUUCCCGCCAGCUCCAC